CAAUAGCGUAUAUUAAAGUUGUUGCAGUUAAAAAGCUCGUAGUUGGACCUGUGGUGGUUGCAUGUCCCCCUUCACUUUGUGUAGUGGUGGUGCGUGCAGCCCCAUGCUUGGAGCGGAAUCUGUGUGGCAUUAAGUUGUCGUGCAGGGGAAGCCCAUCGUUUACUGUGAAAAAAUUAGAGUGUUCAAAGCAGGCUUCUAGCCAUGAAUAUAUUAGCAUGGAAUAAUGAGAUAGGACCUUGGUACUAUUUUGUUGGUUUGUGCACCAAGGUAAUGGUUAACAGGGACAGUUGGGGGUAUUCGUAUUCCAUUGUCAUAGGUGAAAUUCUUGGAUUUUUGGAAGACGAACGACUGCGAAAGCAUUUACCAAGGAUGUUUUCAUUAA
rnacentral:rRNA from 1 species